GUCCACGCCGUAAACGAUGUCUACUCGGAGUUUGGUGUCUUGAACACUGGGCUCUCAAGCUAACGCAUUAAGUAGACCGCCUGGGGAGUACGGCCGCAAGGUUAAAACUCAAAUGAAUUGACGGGGGCCCCGCACAAGCGGUGGAGCAUGUGGUUUAAUUCGAUGCAACGCGAAGAACCUUACCUACUCUUGACAUCCACAGAAGAGACCAGAGAUGGACUUGUGCCUUCGGGAACUGUGAGACAGGUGCUGCAUGGCUGUCGU
rnacentral:rRNA from 1 species